AGUACGAGUCCCAAACAGGACGAAACGCACGUCCUGGAU
rnacentral:hammerhead_ribozyme from 1 species